rnacentral:rRNA from 1 species
CCUACGGGUGGCAGCAGUGGGGAAUAUUGCGCAAUGGGCGCAAGCCUGACGCAGCAACGCCGCGUGAUCGAGGCACCCUUUCGGGUUGUAAGAUUCUUUCAUCGGGGACAAACUUGACGGUACCUACAGAGGAAGCACCGGCUACCUACGUGCCAGCAGCCGCGGUAAUACGUGGGGGGCAAGCGUUGUCCGGAGUAACUGGGCGUAAAGAGUGCGUAGGCGGCAGGGCAAGUCUGGUGUGAAAGGCAGGGGCUCAACCUCCGUACUGCACUGGAUACUGGCAGGCUAGAGUGCAGUAGAGGUAAGGGGAAUUCCCGGUGUAGCGGUGAAAUGCGUAGAUAGCAGGAGGAACACCAGUGGCGAAGGCGGAUUACUGGACCGUAACUGACGCUGAGGAGCGAAAGCGAGGGGAGCAAACAGGAUUAGAUACCCCAGUAGUC